AUCCCCACCUUACAACGGUUCUUUCGCUUAUUUCUCUUCCUCUCAAUGGUUUCUCUCAAGGUAUCAUCACUUCAUUCAUCUUCUUCUCCUUUUCUUUUUUCUCUUUCUCACUUUCUCCUUCUCUAUCGCCCUAUGCCUAUGUCCGCUUCAGCUUCAACUUCAACUUCUGUCGUUUCUCUUCAUCACAAUCACCUUCCUCACUAUAAAACAACAAUAAACGCUUCUUCCUCUUUGAAUUCCCGUUUUUUGUUAUCUCCCACUCCAUAUCCAAGGUACUUGUUCUUUCAAUUCUUUUUCCCUUCUUUCUUUUCUUGUUACAUACUCACUGCCAAUCAUAAUUUUAUUACACAAUUUAAGAAUGAGUAUAUGUUCAAGAGGACAAGAGUUGAAUUCAUAUCUUGGAUUUUGUGUAUUUCUGCAUUAUAACUCAUCAAGAAACAACUCAAGUAGUCAUCUUUUACAUCUUAAUAUAUUAACUGUUAUAACGCAUAUGUUGCUCUCUUUGAAAGAAAACUGCAUAAAGCUCUUAAUGAUGGAUCAAGUUUGAGACCGAACAAAGGUGAUGCCUGGAAACACUAUACUUCCAUCCUUGGUGAACAAGUG
rnacentral:lncRNA from 1 species